ACUGUACAGUCUUCCUGCUCCACGCCAGGGAUUCCUUCUGGUUGACUUGCCUUGCAGGGGGUUUUAAGAACGCUAGGAAAGACCAGUCACAGGAAUUCACCCAUAUUGGCCUGUGGAAGAA